AAAAGACAGUCUCAGUUCGGAUUGAAGGCUGAAAUUCGCCUUCAUGAAGCCGGAAUUGCUAGUAAUGGCAGGUCAGCAUACUGCCGUGAAUACGUUCCCGGGCCUUGUACACACCGCCCGUCACACCAUGAGAGUUGGGAAUACCCGAAGCCUGUGAGCUAACUGUAAAGAGGCAGCAGUCGAAGGUAGAAUCAAUGAUUGGGGUGAAGUCGUAACAAGGUACC
rnacentral:rRNA from 1 species